rnacentral:lncRNA from 1 species
AGUUAAGGAGGCGCUGUCCUGGCGUCGGAUGGGGACGGGGAACGCGGCGAGGGCGCUGCGACCUCUGCCCACCUGGCCCGGCCGCAGUCUCGGAGUUCCUGUUCCUCACAGGAGCUAAUUAUUUAUGACAGCUGCAUGGUUCCCCUCCCCCAGUUACUCAGUGCUUGGCACUCGGCACCCCUUACUCAGCACUCAGUACCGCACUCGGCCUCAGGGGACCUGGGCAGAGGGAAGCAGGGAGUCUCCCGCGGAAACUCUUGCUCUGCCAAAUUUGUGCCUUCAGUCUCUCGCCUCGGCACCUAGGUAAUCCUUUGCCCACAGGACCACACCACCCUCCCCCAGUGAGAGGAACCAGAGUGACGGGAAAGGGAAGCCCCACACAACCAGCACUCGAGGCCCGGCCCACUGGGAGCACUGGGUGGCCUGGCCUGGGAAAGCCCCUUGUGCCCCUUGGGUGGCACCAGCAGGUACCCGUGGGAGCUCCAGCAGCACCAGACAAACCAAGCAGACCCAAGAUAGCACCAUGAAGGCUCUGAACAUCAAAUUGUCACUGGAAGCAUGGCCUGCAGAAGCGGGCCACAAUCCUCACACUAAACCUAAGCAGAGCGACUGGCUGCAAAAAGGAAAGACUUAAAAAAUAGGAUCCAGAGACCUUCCUCUUCCUCAUGAGUUUUCCAAAUCACACUUGAUUGAAACAAAAACGUUAGCACCAUCUGAGACUCAGGACAGUGAUAUUUAUGAGCGGGGAGGGUAAAGGAAGCUCCAUGCUAUAAGUUCCGCACCUCGCUUGAAGUAGGAAAAGGCCACGGCACGCAGGACUCACUGAGUGGCUACCAAAAGAAACCAACGCUGAGCUAUAGCAUGGCAAGCUAAUACUACAUUUUGGAAAAGCACGCAUAUUGAAAUUUGCGUCAUUUGUGCUAUUAUUUGUGCUAUUAUAAAGACCUGACGCCUGGUGGAACCGUGCUUACAAUGUGUGGGUACUUAAACGCGUGUUCUGAAAAACUCCUCUGCUGCUUCUUCCUCUGAUUUCACAUUCGGUAAACCUGCAAGUGCACACAUUUCAUCCCCUUGCAAGACUGUUGUCAGUGCUCAGUAAGUCUACAUUUUACAUAGGAUGAGGUGAUUACAAAGAUGGCACCAUGGAUAAACGACACUACCUGUGUUAGCAGUUGUGACUUUUCCUUCUUUUUUUUUUCUUUUUCUUUUCUUUUCUUUUUCUUUCUUUUUUUUUCUUUCUUUUUUUUUUUGAGAUGGAGUCUCACUCUGUUGUCCAGACUGAAGUACAAUGGCAUGAUCUCAGCUCACUGCAACCUCUCCCUCCUGGGUUCAAGCAAUUCUCCUGCCUCAGCUUCCUGAGUAGCUGGAAUUGCAGGUGCCUGCCACCAUGCCUGGCUAAUUUUCUAUAUUUAGUAGAGACAGGAUUGCGCCAUGUUGGCCAGGCUGGUCUUGAACUCCUGACCUCAGGUGAUCCGCCUGCCUUGGCCUCCUGAAGUGCUGGGAUUACAGGCAUGAGCCACCGUGCCCGGCCAUGACUUUUCAGAUGUUAUCUAAUAAGCCACUAUUCUAAGGGGCAGGCACACAUCCACAUUCGAGUGCCGCCUCUGUUGUCUGCUCUUUAACCAUGUGCUGCCAUCUAAAGAAUGAAUGGAUUCUGCUAAAUUGGCACCAAGAAGUGAAGAUACUGCAGAAAGUGGGAGACUAGAAAAACAGGCCAGGGUCACUAACCAGAAAUGGAGACCAGAGCAGCAGCCCUCCAAAUGGCAGUGUGCUUAAUCAACGCAUAAAUGCUCUAGAUGAACAUUCCAUGACAAAGUAACAUUUAAC